GGCUGAGAGAUCAGCUGUUCCCUUCGGGGACAGAAUGACAGGUGGUGCAUGGUUGUCGUCAGCUCGUGUCGUGAGAUGUUGGGUUAAGUCCCGCAACGAGCGCAACCCUUAUGAUCAGUUGCCAGCAUUCAGUUGGGCACUCUGGUCAGACUGCCGGUGACAAACCGGAGGAAGGCGGGGAUGACGUCAGAUCAUCAUGCCCCUUAUGACCUGGGCUACACACGUGCUACAAUGGGUGGUACAACGAGCAGCGAGACCGCGAGGUCAAGCGAAUCUCUAAAAACCAUCCUCAGUUCGGAUUGCAGGCUGCAACUCGCCUGCAUGAAGCUGGAAUCGCUAGUAAUCGCGGAUCAGCACGCCGCGGUGAAUACGUUCCCGGGUCUUGUACACACCGA
rnacentral:rRNA from 1 species